UCUGUGUUUGUAUUUUAGGUGCAGUUUAGAAAGUACAGAUACAAAAUGCCUGUAGAUGUCAGCAACAAUCAUUUGGUACUUUAAGUAGCAAGUGUGAGAGACAGAACCUUAACGGUUUCCAUGAAUGAAAGUAAUGGAGACAUGUCCAUUGACCUGUGCAUACAGCACAUGCAGAUCUGAGACUCACACACUGAAAGAGAUGAAGAACUUCGGCCAUGGACUGCAGUCCGCACUGAUAGGAACAGACAGGCAGUUGGCUCCUGUGGAAUAUUUUUCCUUACGGAUUAUCUGACAUACUUUUUGACUGGAGACAGAAAUAGUGACUGUAGAGAGACAUUCUGUAUCCAUGGCAACAAUGGUCAGAUUCAGCUGCAGAGAUCUCUCCUUAACAACGUGCGGAGUGAAUGUUAAUGAUAAUGGUUACCACACCAAUAAUAUUGCAGCGGUCAAUGUUCUUCCGUCCAUGUGAGUUUGUCCGAGGUGUAACUUAUCCACGGAUCAAGGAAUUCUUAAAUAACUUGGCAGUCUGCCACAGCAGUUUAUUCCAGCAGUUUGUUCCAGCUGUGUUCUGCAGUUUGUUCCAUUAGUUUGUUCCAGUUUUAUUCUGCAGUUGGUUCCCAGUUCCAGGAGUUAUUUGUAGAAGUGAGCUGUAAUACAGGACUUACACCUGAUGUCCAUACUGUCAAAUAUGCAGAAAUAAGCAUGAAAAGGAGACAACAAUGCCAAGAUAAAUCAGUAUUGCCAGCCACAAGCACUGACACUUGAAUACCAAAAAAAUACUGGCUUAAUAACAAACAGUGCAGAUCAUGAUCAGACUGCACGGAAGGCAGAAUCAGUUGUGUCCAUGAUGAUGAGAAUCAGGAGCCUGAUGUGUUGGUUGAUGUUGAUAUAGAUGAGGGAGAGAUUGAUGAUUAUCAGGACCCACAAAUGAUCAGUCAGAUCUUGUCCAAAGCUGACCUGGACAUUAAUGAUACAACUAUGAUUCAGAUAGGCAGACCAUAUUGAUGAUGCAGAGGAGACUCAGAUAGUGCCUCGGACCCUGAUGAUAAUCGUAAAGAUGGAAAUGAUGAUGAUGAUGAUGAUGAAGAAAAUGACAAUGAUGAUCAUGAUGAUGAUGAUAAUGAAGAAGAAGAUGAUUAGACACUAAACCAGCUGGCAAAAACAGAAUAUGGUCAGUGAUAUAAAACAGGAAGGAAAGAGCAGCUCACCAGUAAUUGAUGUCAUAAAAAAAUAGCUUCUGAGUUUGACUAUUUGCAGGGAUCAGAUAUGGAAGCGAAUAGCUUUGAUUUCCAGCCAGAGAGUGGUUUCUUUGGUCAGACAUUUAACAAUCAUUUUGUCGUCCAUGCUGACAAAAAGUCUGGAGGUUGCUGAGCCCACAAACAGCGGCAGAAGUACUACAGCAUACAAACAGUAUGAACACCAUGGUAGGCCCGCACACACAAGACAAGGGUGGUCCUCUCUAACAAUGAUCUGAGAAUCAUCUCGAGACAGGAGGAUGAUAUCUUUGAGGAGUUGUUCCAGCGACAGUUGGAUGCAGUCCAGAGAUCAAGACAGUUGUAUGCAGCCAGAUGUUGACAGUUGUAUACAGUCAGAUCUCGACAGUUGUUUGCAGUCCGGAGAUCUCGACAGUUAAUAUGCAGUCAGGAGAUCUCGACAGUUGUAUGCAGCCCUGGGAUCGCAGCAGUAGUAUGCAGUCCGGGGAUCUUGACAGCUGUAUGCAGUCCGGAGAUAUUGACAGUUGUAUGCAGCCAGGAGAUCUCAGUUCUUUUUGUACUGAUGGCCUUCUCAAGAUUCAGUCUCAAAUAGAAAUAACUUGGACUGCUUAAAAGUUCUCUAUAUCUUGCAGAUGUGCAGCCUGCGACAUUCUUAUAUAGAAGACAUGUGUGUGAAAUACAAUGAAUAUGAACUGCCACUGUUCAAAUUUGAAAUGUUUCAAGAAAUGUUUUUAUCACAGUGAGACUGAAAAUAAGAAAUCAUAAGGAAGUAAGCUAUGGACAUUUGAACAAAGACCAGUGACAUUUUGGUUUGGCACAGUCGAAAAUAAUGAUGGACCACAAACUGGACACCCUGAAAACUGGAAUAAUGUUGUUUGAAUAAAAAAAAAAUUUAUUAUUUGUAAAAAAAAUACCUUGCAUGUCCCGUCUUAAAAAUUUUGGUAGUUGUUUUUACCAAAGGCCCUUUAAUUGACUUGGGUAUUACUUAAAUUUCAUAUUGUUUGAUUGCUUUACAUAAAUUUUAAACUGAUCAAUGUAUUGUGAAAAUGAUGCACUUGGGCUUACUGUAGGGACUUUACCUUUGUCAGUAUUCGAAUUUUUGUACGUCAGUCUUUGAAUUUUUGUAAUGUUGCACAUGUUUUGCAGUUCUCAUGAGAUGUAGUUAACAACUGACAGUCGUUAUAUGUAUGGAGGCUUGUUUUGUGUCGAAAUAUAAAGAUCUAAUUAUAUUCUUUCUUUAGUACAUAUUUUGAGUUAAUAUGAAUCGGACUGUAUAGACAGCAAAAAGUAUUGAUUGGAAUCUUUGAUUUUUGUGAGUCUGCUUUGAAAAAUCACAAUACCUCAUCAUUCCUAACAGUCUGAUGUAACAUCGUAGUUUUUAAAGAAUUUACUGUGUAAUGAAAUAUAGAUUUUGACAUAAGAUCAAACAUUUGCAAAAGUACCAAUAUUGUGUCAUGUAUUGAGCUAUAUAUAUGUAUUAUACUGGAUCAACCAUUCAUGUACAAUCAGAAGAACUAUUUAAGGAGCUCACCUGGAUGAAAUUCCAUGAUCUAAUUGACUACAAAAAAAGCAAUCUUGGUGAAUCUUUAAAUGGGUUGAGCCCUGAUUAUCUUAAAGUUUAAAUACUCUCAAAGUAAGUUGUUAAGAUCUUUUUACAUUGUUGUUGUUUGUUCAAUAUGUUUAUAAAUGAAAAAGUAUAAAUGUCUAAACAAAUGUAAAUGAUCCUGAAUGUUUUGGUUUUUUUUCAACCAUUCAUUUCAAUGAGUAAAAAUUAUUCUCAAAUGUUAA